GAUGAACGCUGGCGGCGUGCCUAAUACAUGCAAGUCGAGCGAACAGACGAGGAGCUUGCUCCUCUGACGUUAGCGGCGGACGGGUGAGUAACACGUGGAUAACCUACCUAUAAGACUGGGAUAACUUCGGGAAACCGGAGCUAAUACCGGAUAAUAUAUUGAACCGCAUGGUUCAAUAGUGAAAGACGGUUUUGCUGUCACUUAUAGAUGGAUCCGCGCCGCAUUAGCUAGUUGGUAAGGUAACGGCUUACCAAGGCAACGAUGCGUAGCCGACCUGAGAGGGGGUCGGGCCAACUGGGACCGGAGCAAGGGGCCAGAACCUGCGGGGGGGCAGGAGGAGGGAACUUGCCGGAAGGGGGGAAAGCGUGAGGGAGCAACGCGGGGGGGGGGAGGAGGGGCUGCGGAUGUAAAAACGUUGUUAUGAGGGAAAAAAAAAUGGGAAAGAAACGAGGCAGGUUUGGCGGGGACCAAAGCAAAAAGCCCGGGUGACCUCGGG
rnacentral:rRNA from 1 species